GGGAAGACGGGGCAGAGGCAGAUGAGAGGCUCAGUGGAGGGAAGCAGACUUGGGUUUAGUGCCCCCACUGCUUCCUUGAGGGGAACACCCAUUCCUACCGAAGAGCAUUCCCAGAAGGCGAUGGGUUUCGAACAACAUUGUGAGGAGACUCGUCUCAGGGAACUGAGCAGGUGGUAAUCAGAGAAUACAGAGACCCCAGAAGACUUUUAUGGCAUUCCAGGCGGGCACGGGCCAGCCUGCGGGGAGAGCAGCAACACAGAGAGCCCUGCCUGCGGGUAUUCCUGACGCGAAGAAAUGGGCCUGAGCAGCAGCCUGCCUGACUUGGACCCAGCGGAGCCCGGCAAGCUUCCGGAGAAAUGGCCGCAGGUUUCCUCCGAACCCUCCCAGUGGCCGCACCCGGACGGACCCUCAGACUCCCGCCUCUCGGCCAGCAGCGCGCAGAGCGGGCCUCGGCGGGCUCCCGGCUCACAGAUCUUUCCUGUGCUUGGAUCCCUUUGACAGUCUGGUGAAGCUUAUGAACCCCUUCGUAGAAUAAUGUUUUUAAGUUAAUAAAAUAAACAAUUCA